CGUGCCUAACACAUGCAAGUCGAACGAUUAAAGCUCCCUUCGGGGAGUGCAUAAAGUGGCGCACGGGUGAGUAACACGUAAGUAAUCUACCUUCGAGUGGGGAAUAACGUCCGGAAACGGACGCUAAUACCGCAUAAUGCAGCGGCAUCGCAAGAUGACAGUUGUUAAAGGAGCAAUCCGCUUGAAGAGGAGCUUGCGGCAGAUUAGGUAGUUGGUAAGGUAAUGGCUUACCAAGCCUGCGAUCUGUAUCCGGUCUAAGAGGACGGUCGGACACACUGACACUGAAUAACGGGUCAGACUCCUACGGGAGGCAGCAGUCGGGAAUUUUGGGCAAUGGGCGAAAGCCUGACCCAGCAACGCCGCGUGAAGGAUGAAGUAUUUCGGUAUGUAAACUUCGAAAGAAUGGGAAGAAUCAAUGACGGUACCAUUUAUAAGCUCCGGCUAACUACGUGCCAGCAGCCGCGGUAAUACGUAGGGAGCAAGCGUUGUUCGGAUUUACUGGGCGUAAAGGGCGCGUAGGCGGCCUGUCAAGUCAACUGUGAAAUCUCCGGGCUUAACUCGGAACGGUCAGUUGAUACUGUCAGGCUAGAGUGCAGAAAGGGCAAUCGGAAUUCUUGGUGUAGCGGUGAAAUGCGUAGAUAUCAAGAGGAACACCUGAGGCGAAGGCGGGUUGCUAGGCUGACACUGACGCUGAGGCGCGAAAGCCAGGGGAGCAAACGGGAUUAGAUACCCCGGUAGUCCUGGCCCUAAACGAUGAAUACUUGGUGUCUGGAGUUAUUAUCGCUCCGGG
rnacentral:rRNA from 1 species